rnacentral:rRNA from 1 species
UACGUAGGUGGCAAGCGUUAUCCGGAUUUACUGGGCAUAAAGCGCGCGCAGGUGGCAGCUUAAGUCAGGUGUCAAAUGCUACAGCUCAACUGUAGUGCGCACUUGAAACUGGGUUGCUAGAGAUCAGUAGAGGAAAGCGGAACUCACGGUGUAGCGGUGAAAUGCGUAGAUAUCGUGAGGAACACCAGUGGCGAAGGCGGCUUUCUGGACUGAUUCUGACACUGAGGCGCGAAAGCGUGGGGAGCAAACAGG